UGGGGAAUUUUGGACAAUGGGCUAAAGCCUGAUCCAGCAAUGCCGCGUGUGUGAAGAAGGCCUUAGGGUUGUAAAGCACUUUUGUCUGGAAAUAACUGGCUCUGUUUAAUACCUGGGGUCGAUGACGGUACCGGAAGAAUAAGGACCGGCUAACUACGUGUCAGCAGCCGCGGUAAUACGUAGGGUCCAAGCGUUAAUCGGAAUUACUGGGCGUAAAGCGUGCGCAGGCGGUAGUGGAAGACCGAUGUGAAAUCAACGAGCUUAACGUGGGAAUUGCAUUGGUGACUGCACGGCUAGAGUGUGUCAGAGAGGGGUAGAAUUCCAAGUGUAGCAAUGGAAUGCGUAGAGGUGUGGAGGAAUACCGAUGGCGAACGUAGCACCCUGGGAUAACACAGACGCUCAUGCACGAAAGCGUGGGGAGCAAACAGG
rnacentral:rRNA from 1 species